CGCCCGCGACCUCCGCUUCCUGCGCCGCCCGCGAGCCCCCGCCCCUUCCUGCGCCGCCCGCGAGCCCGCGCCGCCGCCCCGGGAGCCCGCCCGCCACUCCCGAGCUCGCGGCGUCCGUCCGCCUGGCGCCUGGAGACCCGCCCGGGCCUCGGGAAGCGCCGGUUGCCCCCCGGCUCGCACGGGGCCCGCAGUCUCCGCCCCCGGGCUUUGCUCCUCCCGACCGGCUCCGAGGGGACCGGCCUUCCCGAGCCAGCUGCUGUACUGGACCCGUUAGGAUCUCUCGUAAAAGCUCUUGGGGGGAUUCGGGACAAAGUAAAACUAAAAGUCUGGCUUUCCUGGGUAAAGUUAUCCCUUUACCAGGGAUAGCAAUCGCGCAGAAAUUCGGAGCCCGAACUUUGGAGCCUACAGAUGGAGCCUUUUCUGGAGCGAGCCUGUUGUCCCCGCCCGAAAAUGCCGAACAGCGCGCGCUAAGUGGGCCCGCCCGGGCGCUCAACGUGGCCUGUAACGGGAGCUCCUCCUUGGGUGGUUGGCUAUUGUGUAAAUUUGCCCCAGUGAACAACUCUAACCUCGGCUGAACAGGGUCUUCUCUGAAUCCUGAAAACACUCCCUCUAUCAGUGGAUCCCCAGUUGGCUGACCUUCCACUUAUCUGAAAGGAGCAGAUAAAGGAAUCUGUUACCCUUCCAAGUACCUUGUUAUCUCAGAAUAUUUUAUUUUUAAAACAUGUGGUUAUAUUUUAAAAUAAAAUCUUGUCUAUCUUCAGAUGUAAGUACAAAGCACUUUAGGAUACGUAUUUCAGAAUUUUAAGUAUGUAAUUUUAGCCUUGUAAAGCAAUAGCUAUCCUAAUAAAAGGGGUAAGUGCCUAGGAUUGGAAAA